UGGGGAAUAUUGGACAAUGGGCGAAAGCCUGAUCCAGCCAUGCCGCGUGAGUGAUGAAGGUCUUCGGAUUGUAAAGCUCUGUCUUUUGGGACGAUAAUGACGGUACCAAAGGAGGAAGCCACGGCUAACUACGUGCCAGCAGCCGCGGUAAUACGUAGGUGGCGAGCGUUGUCCGGAUUUACUGGGCGUAAAGGGUGCGUAGGCGGAUGUUUAAGUGAGAUGUGAAAUACCCGGGCUUAACUUGGGUGCUGCAUUUCAAACUGGAUAUCUAGAGUGCAGGAGAGGAGAAUGGAAUUCCUAGUGUAGCGGUGAAAUGCGUAGAGAUUAGGAAGAACACCAGUGGCGAAGGCGAUUCUCUGGACUGUAACUGACGCUGAGGCACGAAAGCGUGGGUAGCAAACAGGAUUAGAUACCCUGGUAGUCCACGCCGUAAACGAUGAGUACUAGGUGUAGGAGGUAUCGACCCCUUCUGUGCCGCAGUAAACACAUUAAGUACUCCGCCUGGGAAGUACGAUCGCAAGAUUAAAACUCUAAAGUGAAUUGAC
rnacentral:rRNA from 1 species